GAUGAACGCUGGCGGCGUGCCUAAUACAUGCAAGUCGAGCGAACGGACGAGAAGCUUGCUUUUCUGAUGUUAGCGGCGGACGGGUGAGUAACACGUGGAUAACCUACCUAUAAGACUGGGAUAACUUCGGGAAACCGGAGCUAAUACCGGAUAAUAUUUUGAACCGCAUGGUUCAAAAGUGAAAGACGGUCUUGCUGUCACUUGUAGAUGGAUCCGCGCUGCAUUAGCUAGUUGGUAAGGUAACGGCUUACCAAGGCAACGAUGCAUAGCCGACCUGAGAGGGUGAUCGGCCACACUGGAACUGAGACACGGUCCAGACUCCUACGGGAGGCAGCAGUAGGGAAUCUUCCGCAAUGGGCGAAAGCCUGACGGAGCAACGCCGCGUGAGUGAUAAAGGUCUUCGGAUCGUAAAACUCUGUUAUUAGGGAAGAACAUAUGUGUAAGUAACUGUGCACAUCUUGACGGUACCUAAUCAGAAAGCCACGGCUAACUACGUG
rnacentral:rRNA from 1 species